GUUCUUAAAUCUGAACCUAAUUAUCUAAGGAAGAUGAUUAUCAUCCUCAGAAAUUUUGCAUUAUUCACUGUAUUUUUUAUUAACGUAUUAGGGAUCCUUCUGUUUAUCGUCACAAAAUUUCAAAACGCAGAAUCGUGAAGAAUUUAAGAUGGGAAUUAGAUGAGAAUGAAAGCGCGGUGCUGACAUGGAUACUCGACAAUGCUUCUACACAAGUGGAAAUGGUUCAGUCUCUUAUGAAGAAGACAGUUGCGGAACGAACGCAACGACAAGAUUCAAAGAUGGAGAAUAAAGUGUGUCAUAAGUGUGGGAAAUUUAAAAAGUUUGAGAAAGCAGCAGCGAAGGUGGUAAUCGAACUAGAUGUCAUUAGAAGGUUUAAAGCUGGUAAUUCGGGAAGUAGUCAAGUUAUAUCCCAGGACAGGGAUGAAAUACUGUGUCAAGCCGUUAGGAGGAAGUUUCAAAAUCCGCAGAGAACAACCAGUCCAUCUUCGCUGGUUGGGAAGGUUGAAUCUGUUGGUUCCAGAGAAAUCGUCUCUUGUCAACGAAGAGAACAUGAGUAUCAGCCAACUGAGGGCAUCAUGCAGCCAACGACACCGACCGGAAUGGAGGCUACUUCCAUUCAGGAUUGGAUUGCAAACAGCCACAAUCUUCGAAACAAGUUUUUAGUGUCUUGCAGUUGCUAAGAAUCGGUGUAUCAGACAGCAUAUACAGUUCCGGUUUGUGGCUUUACCAACCUCUAAGCGAAUCUGUAACGCAUGAUUAUUUUGAAUUACAGUAGCUUUCUGCUGCAAGAGCUCUCCUUGGUCAUUUUAACUGUUCACGGAUCUUACUGUGGUAGGCAAACCUUAUGGACUUAUGUUUUAAAACGUACUUCUAUGCCUACUUCGACAUUGUUGUUUUUGUCUCUGGUUCAAUAGUUGAUUUCUUAGGCUGAUGAUUUUGGUCGAUAAUAAUUUGCACGUUCGAUGAUAUAUGCCAGCAUUUUGGAUGUCAUUGAAUAUUUGAAUCUGAAUUCCAUGCAAUAUGUGUUUUUGCAGAUGCACAUUUUUGUUUACGAAGAUUAUUAGGUAAACAAUAGGAGCAUUGAUAUCAUUCUUUACCAUUCAGCAUGUUUGUUGACUGUUUGAAGCUUUGCUUAAGGUUAACAAUUAAUGGCGUCUUUUAAUCUUCAAUUGGACUUUGAAGUGGCUGGACGAGAGAUGCGAAUGUCUUCUUGCACUGGUUCUCGGCAGUACCUUUUACCGGUGGUGGCUUUACUGAUGCUGCAGUUAGAGAAGGGCUUUCCGAAGCACUAAUGGUAGGGUAUAGAGUUUUGAUGGUAGUAGUAUUCUUUAAAAACCAUUUCGUACUGUCUCUACAGCGAAUUCAUUUUGUAGCGCAUAAUCAUAAUUUAUUUUUAGCGUCUUCUUCAUAAUAUUGGUUGAGUUCUUACCCAUCUCUUUUCUAAGUGGAACCUUUGUCUUCAAGAUUUAUCUGGAGGUGUUUGCGAAGAAUUGGAAUGGGAAAGUGUUUAGAGUAAAUGAAAUUUUGUUUGGGAAGGGGUCUUGGGUAUGUCGUGCUAGUUGGCGUGACAAAUUAAUCUAGUUACAUGAUCCAAAUGAUUUAUAAUUCGUUGCCAGUUCAGAUGUUUGUAGAAAUGAACAAGCAUUAUUCUUGUGGCUGGUCUUGGGUAUGUCGUGCUAGUUGGCGUGACAAAUUAAUCUAGUUACAUGAUCCAAAUGAUUUAUAAUUCGUUGCCAGUUCAGAUGUUUGUAGAAAUGAACAAGCAUUAUUCUUGUGGCUGCCGGCAACCCUUACUCCCUGCCCACCCCAGUAUACCGGCCAAAAAUCCCAAAUCUUGAUCAGAGUGAAAACAAAGAAGUGGGACCAGAAAGUUGUCUCGCAGAUGCUAAAACAGUUGCAGAAUCAUUUGUCAGGUAAGAAGGAUAUCACGUGGAACUGGAAAAGUGUUGGCAGUAAAUUUGAUUUUAUUAAGAAAUUUUAGCUGGUGGGUCAGAAAAUUCUCAUCUGGCAAGAUAGGGUACAACUGUACAGGAAAUCCACCAGUUCCUGCGGCAACUGCUUCUUCUCCUUCUGGUUUCAUUUUUGUUCCUGAUCUUAUUGAUUCUGAGAAUCAUGAAUGAAAACAAGAUAUAAGUUGAUGUGGACUAGAAACAGAAAUUUGCACUGUUAAGUCAGUCUAAUAGAUCAUGUACAAUUCGUACCUUUAAUAGAUCCCUAAUCUUUCGUUUCAUCUGUAUAAAAAAGAAAACAACAUCCUCAUUUUUACUAAUCUAAUGCCAGGAACAUGCUU